AGCAUGAUCAUACAGCCAACCCCAAAAUGGUGGGAUGAGGCUAGGAUGAUGAUGAUGGUGAUGUAAAUAAAUAAAGAAAAAGAAAUUCAAAUAAAGAUUAGUGACUGACCUGGGAGUAUUGGUGUGAAAAUAGAAAAUCUCCAAAUGUCCUAUUUUGGCAAACAAAUGUCUGUGAAUCAGAGAUUAGGAUUGUUCAACCAAUCUAAUCUUGGGAUUGUGACUUAGCAAUUGUGAACUGCACAAUAUACUUGUUUUGGUUAAGUUAAGCUUGUUUUGGUUUUUGCAGGGCGUAAUUGAAGUGCAUAGAGGGAUUUUUUAUUUAUUUAUUUAUUUUUUCAUUCAUCAAUUGCUUGAAGGUGGUGUAAAAUAUUCAUUUCUUUGGUGGAUGAUUUUAUGCAAGUCUGCCUUUUAGGAACAACCCACUCCCAGUUUUUUGUAUCUUUGAUUUUAACUUGUCAAUGUCAUUGUUAAUUUAAUACAAAAUCCAUGUUCACUUGCAGUGUUGAUGAGCAAGUAGCCAAGGACAUAUAACUACUAGAUUCCAUUGCUGAGAAGCAACCCCAAAUCUUCUCUGAAGAAUGCAAGUAUUAUUGAAGUUAUUAGCACAUGGGAUGACCAAAAAUGAGUGAUGCCCCAUUGGUUUGACUUGGAAAAUUUAUUAUAACUAACCUUUUCAAGUAAUUGGAUGAUUCAUAUGAUCCAGUAA